rnacentral:rRNA from 1 species
CGGACGGGUGAGUAACGCGUGAGUAACCUGCCUUACACAAGGGGAUAGCCGUUGGAAACGACGAAUAAUACCCUAUGACAUAAACUCUUCGCAUGAGGAGCUUAUCAAAGAUUUAUCGGUGUAAGAUGGACUCGCGUCUGAUUAGCUAGUUGGUGAGGUAACGGCCCACCAAGGCGACGAUCAGUAGCCGGCUUGAGAGAGUGUACGGCCACAUUGGGACUGAGACACGGCCCAGACUCCUACGGGAGGCAGCAGU